rnacentral:lncRNA from 1 species
CUGAUGGAAUAAAUAACAAAAAUAAAAAGAUCCAGGACUACUCUCAGACUCUGAAGCAGGUGGGAGCCCUGGCGGUAGCUAUGGGUCCAGUUCAAAGGAGUAUGAAAGGCACUGCUUUCACAUCAAAAAGGUGUUCUGAUAUUUAUUCAAAACUCAUGAAUGAAAACAAAAAUAUUCUGGAC